rnacentral:lncRNA from 1 species
AGGGAACAUAUAUAAUAGGCAUCCCUCAUGUAGGACAUUGAUGAGUACAAUAUUGAAUGGUAUUGCUUGAAGGGAGGCGAUGAGAUCGGGAUAGAUGUAGGUAGUUGAAAGUUCAAAUUAAGUAUAAUGCUCAUCAGUCUCUCCAUUCUAACUAGCAUGCUCCUUUAAAAGUUGUUAAGUCAUGCUAUUAUGUAUCAAAAUACCCUAGUUCUCCCUCUAUAGACAUCGA